CCUACGGGAGGCAGCAGUGAGGAAUAUUGGUCAAUGGCCGGAAGUCUGAACCAGCCAAGCCGCGUGAAGGACGAAGGUGCCAAGCAUUGUAAACUUCUUUUGUCAAGGGAUAAAAUCAGUCUCGAGAGCCUGACCGAGGGUACUGGAAGAAAAAGCAUCGGCUAACUCCGUGCCAGCAGCCGCGGUAAUACGGAGGAUGCGAGCGUUAUCCGGAUUUAUUGGGUUUAAAGGGUGCGUAGGCGGGCUGUUAAGUCAGGGGUAAAAGUCCGGGGCUCAACCCCGGCAAGCCGCUGAAACUGGCUGUCUUGAGAUGGCCGGAGGUAUGCGGAAGGCGUAGUGUAGCGGUGAAAUGCUUAGAUAUUGCGCAGAACUCCGAUUGCGAAGGCAGCAUACCGGCGGCGAUCUGACGCUGAGGCACGAAGGCGUGGGUAUCGAACAGGAUUAGAUACCCUUGUAGUC
rnacentral:rRNA from 1 species